rnacentral:lncRNA from 1 species
UCCCUUCAAAAAGAAGCACCCAAAGGAAACAUAUAGAUUCAAAUGUAAACUUCCUCAGAUAUCCCAAACAUAAGCAAUGUCCAGAAAUACUAAGCUGCAAUGCUCAAACAGACUUCCAAGUACAUAGUUAUUCUUGAGAAACAUUAAAACAAACACAUCACCAGUGCACAGGAAUUCCUACUGUGUUACCAUCAACUGGAGAAGAAGUGCGAGCGAGUAUGGAAGACAUUUGAAGACCAAGGACCAAUCCAUAAUGCACCAUAACAAAUGGACAUCAAUUAAUAGGCAGCAUAAAAAGGUAGCAUCCAUAAAUCUGAUUAUUACAAAAUAUCUAAAUGGUGACAUUUUAAUCCCAAGAAAUAAACGAAGCAUCCUUUGAAUAUGCUUCUACUAAUAAAACAUAGCAUCUGUGCAGUCCAGGAAAUAUGAGAGACGGAACUAAAGUGAAGGAAAAACGUAAAGGCUAACACGCCUUAGACACGAGAGUUCACUCUCCGAUUAAUGGAAACCAACAUAAUCCAAGCCGAUCCUAAUCAUCAUUGACCUUUCCAUUGAACUCCAAAGCUGUGAUACUCAUAAUCGUAAAUCGCCUUAACGGAUUGGGUCCUACACAGAAGAUUUUUUCACAAUUCAGUGUGAUUUAAGCGACCAUUCUGGAUUUUCAGCAAAACCUAAUGGCUAGUCAGUAAUACAGGGUCCAGCGUAUAGAUGGCAUUUGUCACCUGCAGAAAUUCGUAACUCUAACGUCUCCCACGAUGCCCACCUCCUGACCUUGCACCAGGAUAGCGAGCAAAUUGCAGCCUUAAGUGGGCCGAGUCCCGGUCAUGCUCAUCAAACCUAUAACCUGCAAGAUUUAGUUCGACUAUUUUAUGGUACCAACUGAUGUCGCUUCGAAUGACGACCGACAAACCAGGUAAGUAGUGUAAGGAUUUUAGAUUGUAGCCGCAGUAUUAAUUCUCCUCAUCGAAAAUUUCCACUUAAGAUGCUAAAUAGGUAUAAUACGAGAUUGAUUGGUGAAUUUGAUAAGACAUAAUGUGAUUUAGGAGAUAAUAAGAAAAUUAUAAUUUUACCAGAAAGGGGAAACAUCAAGAAUUGUAAAUAGACAUAUAGCAUUUUGUAUGAUUAUAGGAGUAUAACACAAAGUAAAUGGAUAUUAAGAGAUAAUACCAACCUAUAUGUGAGCGAUAUAUUAUAUAUAUGCCCGAAUUUUUCCUUCGAGACAAAAUUUGUAUGCUACUUGAAUAAAUUCCACCACCUUCAUGUCCCAGGUAGUUGUCUUGACCAAAGUUGGUCAUGGUAUUUCAUUUUAAGAAUAAUUACUAUGAAUUCCUCAAAAUUUUUGGUUCAUUUUUUAUCAUUUUUACAUGAACAUAAUUAAAUAGGAAAGAGUAUUUACAUGUUCACAAAAUGAUUUCCAAGCAAAUACCAUACGUUAAUGGGGAAAGAAAAUAUUUGCCUUGAUAUUCCAUACUAGUAUUGAAACAACAGUCCUAAGUAAGAUCAAAGCCAUCCAAAUAAUGUCUCUCAGUCAUAAGUUGAGCACUUCAAGCCCGUGUUUGAGCCCCAUUCUAUAAAAAAACUCAUAUUUCCCCAAAUUCAUUUUUAACCACACAUUCUCCCAAUAAAUUAAUUUUACACGUAAAUGUAAAACUUUUUCUUAUUUCUUAACAACAAAUUCUCCAAUAAUCACUAUUAUAAAACCUAUUCUCCCAAAAAAUGGGGCUCAAACAGACCCAAGGUGGUUAGCAAAAAGUAAACAACUUUCAAACCAAGGGUAAGGUAAAAAAAAAGUAAUGAUCAUUCACAUUCUCCCUUCAAAAAGAAGCACCCAAAGGAAACAUAUAGAUUCAAAUGUAAACUUCCUCAGAUAUACCAAACAUAAGCAAUGCCCAGAAAUACUAAGCUGCAAUGCUCAAACAGACUUCCAAGUACAUAGAUAUUCUUGAGAAACAUUAAAACAAACACAUCACCAGUGCACAGGAAUUCCUACUGUGUUACCAUCAACUGGAGAAGAAGUGCGAGCGAGUAUGGAAGACAUUUGAAGACCAAGGACCAAUCCAUAAUGCACCAUAACAAAUGGACAUCAAUUAAUAGGCAGCAUAAAAAGGUAGCAUCCAUAAAUCUGAUUAUUACAAAAUAUCUAAAUGGUGACAUUUUAAUCCCAAGAAAUAAACGAAGCAUCCUUUGAAUAUGCUUCUACUAAUAAAACAUAGCAUCUGUGCAGUCCAGGAAAUAUGAGAGACGGAACUAAAGUGA